UACGUAGGGUGCGAGCGUUGUCCGGAAUUACUGGGCGUAAAGAGCUCGUAGGCGGCUUGUCGCGUUGUUCGUGAAAAUUUACCGCUCACGGUGAACUUGCGGGCGAUACGGGCAGGCUAGAGUACUGCAGGGGAGACUGGAAUUCCUGGUGUAGCGGUGAAAUGCGCAGAUAUCAGGAGGAACACCGGUGGCGAAGGCGGGUCUCUGGGCAGUAACUGACGCUGAGGAGCGAAAGCGUGGGGAGCGAACAGG
rnacentral:rRNA from 1 species